CGUAGAGCACCCGGGUUGCACAUGAAACCUAAACUGUGUUAUGCGACUCUCAUUUGUUUAUUUGUGACGUCCAGUCAUUUGAAUUUAUGACAGGUGGACUCCAAUCAAGUUUUAGAAACGUCAAUGAUGAGCAAUGGAAACGGGAUGCACCUGAGCUCAAUUUCGAGUCUCAUCGCAAAGGGUCUGAAUACUUAUAUAAAUAAGACACAAUUGAGAGCAUCCUGUCGAGCUGUAUCACAGCCUGGUAUGGCAACUGCACCGCCCACAACCGCAGAGCUCUCCAGAGGGUGGUACCAUGCAUCACCAUGGGCAAACUACCUGCCCUCCAGGACAACUACAGCACCCGUUGUCAGAGGAGGGCCAAAAAGAUCAUUAAGGACAACAACCACCCGAGCCACUGCCUGUUCACCCCGCUACCAUCCAGAAGGCGAGGUCAGUACAGGUGCAUCAAAGCUGGGACCGAGAGACUGAAAAACAGCUUCUUUCUCAAGGCCAUCAGACUGUUAAAACAGCCAUCACUAGCACAGAGAGGCUGCUGCCUACAUACAGACUUUAAAUCAUUGGCAACUUUAAUUUAUGGAACACUAAUCACUUUAAAAAUGCCACUUUAAUAAUGUUUACAUAUCUUGCAUUACUCAUCUCAUAUGCAUAUACGGUAUUCUAUACUAUCUAUUGCAUCUUAGCCUAUGCCCCUCUGUUCUUGCUCAUCUAUAUAUUUCUAUUUCUAUAUUCUUAUUCCAUUCCAUUCCUUUUCCAUUAGGUAUUUUUUUCCACCUUUAUUUAACCAGAUAGGCUUGUUGAGAACAAGUUCUCAUUUACAACUGCGACCUGGCCAAGAUAAAACAUAGCAGUGUGAACAGACAACAACACAGAAUUACACAUGGAGUAAACAAUAAACAAGUCAAUAACACAGUAGAAUGAAAAAAGAGUCUAUAUACAUUGUGUGUUGUGGAAUUGUUAGAUAUUACUUGUUAGAUAUCGGAACUAGAGGCACAAGCAUUUCUCUACACUCGCAAUAACAUCUGCUAACCAUGUUUGUAACUGUGUAUGUGGCCAACAACAUGUCAUUUGAUUUGAGAUGUUUGAGAAGGCAUGCAAAAUUUACAAAGAAUAGGGAGAUUUGAUUAACCAAUGUCAAGUCCUAGCUGACGGAGCUCAGAUAAACCCCCUUCCUCUGAAACACACACACACGCUGGUCCUCCGUUGUGACCAUUUUCUGAAGUAUGUCUAUGCAGUCAGACCUUUGAUUAUUUUGUGCCAACAAGGCCACAAUAAUUUGCCCCCUCUCUGAUUGUCCAAGGGUUGCCAGCAAUGCAACCGCUUGGGUGGGGUCACCCCACCAGAAUUCCCACUGGCUUGGUACAAGGUCAUCAAGGUUCGCAUUGGCAGCUUUGAGAAAUUCCUUGUAUAUUAUACUCACCCAUCUGGGGGCUGUGGCUUUGUCGGACCAACCCUGCCAGGCAGGCUCAGAGUCUUGAGGGGCGGUGCUGCUUUAGUGGGUCUCUGAAUAUAUUUAUCUUUCUGUCUUGGCUGCGUAUAGGCUACUUGCAGUAGGCCUAUAAAACAGAUAAGGACUUCUCCUUAGUGUAUGUCUCGCUCAGGUUGGUGUCUAGAGUAUAGGGUUGGGGACCGUUCCAUCAUGAUAGGACAAUAAAUAAAUUAACUGCAUUUAUAAUUUAUUUUGAAAUGUAUAUCCCAUAUCUCCACAAAAUGUAAAGCUCUCUCUGUCACAACUCCUUCUCGUAGACACACAUGGGCUCUGGCAUUCUUUUUCCACCCACUUAACUCCACACUUUUCCAAACACAAAAACAUCCCUCCCCACCUUCCAUCACAAUAUACCCACACAAACCCACAUACUGUGCCUUAUAUAUCCUCUGUUUGCUGUGUUUUUAUCCCUACUGUGAUUUGGUUGAUUCCUAAUUUCAGGCUUUUGAGUACUUUUGUGUUCCAGGGGCUCGCGAGUGGCGCAGCGGUUUAAGGAACUGCAUCCCAGUACUAGAGAUGUCACUACAGACCCUGGUUUGAUUCAAGGCUGUUUCACAACCGUCCGUGAUUGGGAGACCCAUAGGGUGGCGCACAAUUGGCCGCGUGUCGUCCAGGUUACGGGUUGGCUGGGGUAAGCAGUCAUUAUAAAAAUGAAUUUGUUCUUAACUGACUUGCCUACUUAAAUAAAGGUUCAAUUAAUAAAAAUAUUUGAAGAUGUAUUAUUUCAGUAAUUAUACUUUCUUCUAAUCCUGUCUUUUGUCUCUUCAAUAAUACUAUAAAUAGAAAGUCGAAUACUAAUUACAACAUUCCCUAUCUUGAAUGGAAUAGUGGAACAGUUGCUGUAGUUUAUUUGUUCAUCAAUUGUUGUAUUUUAUUGUUUUCCUAUUUUUUUGUAUUACAAUCCCUACCAUGGAUAGUAUUGUGUGUUCCAUUAUUCGACCCCUCUAUGGGAAUUUGUAAAUUGUCACGCCUUGGUCAUUGUAUUUUGUGUUUUCGUUAUAUAUUUGGUCAGGCCAGGGUGUGACAUGGGUUUAUAUAUUGUAUUUUCGUAUUGGGGUUUGUAGUAUUUGGGAUUGCGGCUGAGUAGGGGUGUUGUAUAGGCUUGGCUGCCUGAGGCGGUUCUCAGAGUCAGGUGAUUCUCGUUGUCUCUGAUUGGGAACCGUAUUUAGGUAGCCGGGGUUUCACUGUGUAUUUCGUGGGUGAUUGUUCCUGUCUCUGUGUAGUUUCACCAGAUAGGCUGUAAUUAGGUUUCACGUUCCGUUUGUUGUUUUUGUAUUUGUAUAGUUAUUUCAUGUGUCACUUUUUUCAUUAAAGUCAUGAGUAACCACCA